rnacentral:rRNA from 1 species
GACGAACGCUGGCGGCGUGCUUAACACAUGCAAGUCGAACGGAAAGGCCCCUUCGGGGGUACUCGAGUGGCGAACGGGUGAGUAACACGUGGGUGACCUGCCCUGCACUUCGGGAUAAGCCUGGGAAACUGGGUCUAAUACCGGAUAGGACAGCAUCGUGAGGAUGUGGUGGAAAGUUUUUUCGGUGCAGGAUGGGCCCGCGGCCGGUCGGCUGGUUGGUGGGGUUAUGGCCUACCAAGGCGGCGACGGGUAGCCGGCCUGAGAGGGUGGACGGCCACAUGGGGUCUAAGACACGACCCAGACUCCUACGGGAGGCAGCAGUGGGGGGUAUUGCACAAUGGGCGCAAGCCUGAUGCAGCGACGCCGCGUGGGGGAUGAAGGCCUUCGGGUUGUAAACUCCUUUCAUCAUCGACGAAGGGCUCACUUGUUGUGGGUUUGACAGUAGGUGGAGAAGAAGCACCGGCUAACUACGUGCCAGCCGCCGCCGUAACAC